rnacentral:tRNA from 1 species
GAGGCCAUAGUGAAGCAGUUAUCACAGCACUCUGUGGCAGUGCGAUCACGGGUGCAAAUCCCGUUGGCCUCC